rnacentral:rRNA from 1 species
UACGUAGGGGCAAGCGUUGUCCGGAAUUAUUGGGCGUAAAGAGCUCGUAGGCGGUCUGUCGCGUCGGCUGUGAAAUCCGAGGCUCAACCUCGGUCUGCAGUCGAUACGGCAACUAGAGUAUGCAGGAGACUGGAAUCUGUGUAGCGUGAAUGCGCAGAUAUCAGAGACACGUGCGAAGCGGGGGUCUCUGGGGGCAAAAAUAACUGACGCUGAGGGGGGAGCGAAAAAAGCGUGGGGGGAGCGAAAAAACAGGGGGGAUUUUUUAGAUAC